rfam:Amphimedon queenslandica AMPQTscaffold_4577_Cont23445, whole genome shotgun sequence.
UAACAGGCUGAGCAUGUACUCAAGUGUUCAUAGCGAUGUUGCUUUUUGAUCCUUCGAUGUCGGCUCUUCCUAUCAUUGCGAAGCAGAAUUUGCCAAGCGUUGGAUUGUUCACCCACUAAUACAAGAAACUAAGUCUUCAAAGUAAUAAUUU